GGGCCCGCACAAGCGGUGGAGCAUGUGGUUUAAUUCGAUGCAACGCGAAGAACCUUACCAGGGCUUGACAUACUACAAAUCCUUUUGAGAAAAAAGGGAGUGCCUUCGGGAAUGUAGAUACAGGUGGUGCAUGGCUGUCGUCAGCUCGUGUCGUGAGAUGUUGGGUUAAGUCCCGCAACGAGCGCAACCCUUAUUUUUAGUUACUAAUUCGUUAGGUUCUCUAGAAAGACUGCCGGUGACAAACCGGAGGAAGGUGAGGAUGACGUCAAGUCAGCAUGCCCCUUAUGCCCUGGGCUACACACGUGCUACAAUGGUUAAGACAAAGAGUCGCGAGCUUGUGAAAGUCAGCUAA
rnacentral:rRNA from 1 species